UUCGCCUGUUUAUCAAAAACAUAGCCUGGAGCAUAUAUUUCAGGUGGAAUCUGCUCAGUGUACCUAUUGGUAAAAUUAUAAAUAGCCGCGGUACUUUGACCGUGCUAAGGUAGCGUAAUAAGUUGGCUCUUAAAUGGGGUCGGGUAUGAAUGAAAGAACGUAGCCAAGCUGUCUCAAAACCAUUUUAUUGAAUUUACUGUGUAGAUGAAAAAGUCUAUAGAAAAUUAAAAGACGAGAAGACCCUUAGAAUUUAAAUGAUAAGGAAAUUGUUUUCAAGAUAUUUUUGUUGGGGCGACACAGAGACAAUUAUCAACUUUCUGGAGGAUACAUGACGAUUUUUAUAAGAUCGAAAAAAUUACCUGAGGGAUAACAGCAUAAUUUUAUAAUUUAGUUUGUGACCUCGAUGUUGGACUAGGAAAUUGGUAGACUAGCCGUUUAUCAUAUUGGUUCUGUUCGAACUGUUUUUCCUACGUGAUCUGAUUCAGACCGGAC
rnacentral:rRNA from 1 species